AUUCCGUGUUGAGGACACUCCAUUUUGUACUCCUUAAAUCUAUCCCAAGCUUAAAAUAGGGAUUCAUCACGUUUUUUCUCAAAGGAUUGAAUCUUAGGCCGGUACU
rfam:Spinacia oleracea cultivar SynViroflay scaffold13500.con0004.1, whole genome shotgun sequence.